AAGUAUUUGAGCAAAAUCACCAGGUGGCAGAAAUCAGCUCCAGAGCAGCCUGGUCACUGGAGAGCACUUUGUAUGAGGAGCUGUAUAUGCAUGGACCCUGAUGCCAGCCAACCAUUUCCCUGAGCUCAGAAGUGCAGGCAUCAACAGCAAUUUACAGGCAUCUUUCUGCUGCUCAGAGGAAGAUUCAGAAAUCACAUUGAUCUGAAACAGCAUCAUCUGGGAGCUUGUCAGAGAUCCACAGUCUCAAGCCUCCACCCCAGAACCACUGAGACAGAGUCUGAAGUUUUAAAGUCUCCAGGAGAUUUGUACACAUGUCAAGUCUAAGAAGCAAAGCGGUAGAACACAUUUUGAGAACCAGGGCCAAGGACGAUGACAGAAAUGGUUUUAACCUGGGAAACUUCAAUAAUCAAUCUUAGAGUUCAUUCACCUUGGAUCCUGAAAGACUUCGGUGUUUCUUCCAAGGAACAUCUGCUCUGGCAAGGGGAUUUUUCACUGGGAAAAUUACAUCUGAAGGCUGUCGUGGAGAGAUGCAGCUCAUCAUCGUCAAAGACAAAGCUUUGAGAGCAGGUCAGCAAAGGAGCCUGCUGGAUUGGCAGGCUCCAGGGAAGAGCUUAUUCCAGACACAGAGGCCCGAGGGAAGAUGAGAGAGAAGAAAUGGAACAAAGGAAGCAGUGAGGGACAAGCCCGGGCUCAGCCAAAGGAAGAAGCAGAGGAAAGAGGAAGGUAUGUUGGCGGAGUCCCAGCGGUUCCUCAUUCCAUUUGAGGACACGGUGAGCCAUCAUUGUCACGCAGCCUUUGGGAUGAAGU
rnacentral:lncRNA from 1 species